rnacentral:rRNA from 2 species
ACCCGGAGAACUGAAACAUCUUAGUACCCGGAGGAAGAGAAAGAAAAUUCGAUUCCCUUAGUAGCGGCGAGCGAAACGGGAAGAGCCCAAACCAACAAGCUUGCUUGUUGGGGUUGUAGGACACUCUAUACGGAGUUACAAAGGACGACAUUAGACGAAUCAUCUGGAAAGAUGAAUCAAAGAAGGUAAUAAUCCUGUAGUCGAAAAUGUUGUCUCUCUUGAGUGGAUCCUGAGUACGACGGAGCACGUGAAAUUCCGUCGGAAUCUGGGAGGACCAUCUCCUAAGGCUAAAUACUCUCUAGUGACCGAUAGUGAACCAGUACCGUGAGGGAAAGGUGAAAAGCACCCCGGAAGGGGAGUGAAAUAGAACCUGAAACCGUGUGCUUACAAGUAGUCAGAGCCCGUUAAUGGGUGAUGGCGUGCCUUUUGUAGAAUGAACCGGCGAGUUACGAUUUGAUGCAAGGUUAAGCAGUAAAUGUGGAGCCGUAGCGAAAGCGAGUCUGAAUAGGGCGUUUAGUAUUUGGUCGUAGACCCGAAACCAGGUGAUCUACCCUUGGUCAGGUUGAAGUUCAGGUAACACUGAAUGGAGGACCGAACCGACUUACGUUGAAAAGUGAGCGGAUGAACUGAGGGUAGCGGAGAAAUUCCAAUCGAACCUGGAGAUAGCUGGUUCUCUCCGAAAUAGCUUUAGGGCUAGCCUCAAGUGAUGAUUAUUGGAGGUAGAGCACUGUUUGGACGAGGGGCCCCUCUCGGGUUACCGAAUUCAGACAAACUCCGAAUGCCAAUUAAUUUAACUUGGGAGUCAGAACAUGGGUGAUAAGGUCCGUGUUCGAAAGGGAAACAGCCCAGACCACCAGCUAAGGUCCCAAAAUAUAUGUUAAGUGGAAAAGGAUGUGGCGUUGCCCAGACAACUAGGAUGUUGGCUUAGAAGCAGCCAUCAUUUAAAGAGUGCGUAAUAGCUCACUAGUCGAGUGACACUGCGCCGAAAAUGUACCGGGGCUAAACAUAUUACCGAAGCUGUGGAUUGUCCUUUGGACAAUGGUAGGAGAGCGUUCUAAGGGCGUUGAAGCAUGAUCGUAAGGACAUGUGGAGCGCUUAGAAGUGAGAAUGCCGGUGUGAGUAGCGAAAGACGGGUGAGAAUCCCGUCCACCGAUUGACUAAGGUUUCCAGAGGAAGGCUCGUCCGCUCUGGGUUAGUCGGGUCCUAAGCUGAGGCCGACAGGCGUAGGCGAUGGAUAACAGGUUGAUAUUCCUGUACCACCUAUAAUCGUUUUAAUCGAUGGGGGGACGCAGUAGGAUAGGCGAAGCGUGCGAUUGGAUUGCACGUCUAAGCAGUAAGGCUGAGUAUUAGGCAAAUCCGGUACUCGUUAAGGCUGAGCUGUGAUGGGGAGAAGACAUUGAGUCUUCGAGUCGUUGAUUUCACACUGCCGAGAAAAGCCUCUAGAUAGAAAAUAGGUGCCCGUACCGCAAACCGACACAGGUAGUCAAGAUGAGAAUUCUAAGGUGAGCGAGCGAACUCUCGUUAAGGAACUCGGCAAAAUGACCCCGUAACUUCGGGAGAAGGGGUGCUCUUUAGGGUUAACGCCCAGAAGAGCCGCAGUGAAUAGGCCCAAGCGACUGUUUAUCAAAAACACAGGUCUCUGCUAAACCGUAAGGUGAUGUAUAGGGGCUGACGCCUGCCCGGUGCUGGAAGGUUAAGAGGAGUGGUUAGCUUCUGCGAAGCUACGAAUCGAAGCCCCAGUAAACGGCGGCCGUAACUAUAACGGUCCUAAGGUAGCGAAAUUCCUUGUCGGGUAAGUUCCGACCCGCACGAAAGGCGUAACGAUUUGGGCACUGUCUCAACGAGAGACUCGGUGAAAUCAUAGUACCUGUGAAGAUGCAGGUUACCCGCGACAGGACGGAAAGACCCCGUGGAGCUUUACUGUAGCCUGAUAUUGAAAUUCGGCACAGCUUGUACAGGAUAGGUAGGAGCCUUUGAAACGUGAGCGCUAGCUUACGUGGAGGCGCUGGUGGGAUACUACCCUAGCUGUGUUGGCUUUCUAACCCGCACCACUUAUCGUGGUGGGAGACAGUGUCAGGCGGGCAGUUUGACUGGGGCGGUCGCCUCCUAAAAGGUAACGGAGGCGCUCAAAGGUUCCCUCAGAAUGGUUGGAAAUCAUUCAUAGAGUGUAAAGGCAUAAGGGAGCUUGACUGCGAGACCUACAAGUCGAGCAGGGUCGAAAGACGGACUUAGUGAUCCGGUGGUUCCGCAUGGAAGGGCCAUCGCUCAACGGAUAAAAGCUACCCCGGGGAUAACAGGCUUAUCUCCCCCAAGAGUUCACAUCGACGGGGAGGUUUGGCACCUCGAUGUCGGCUCAUCGCAUCCUGGGGCUGUAGUCGGUCCCAAGGGUUGGGCUGUUCGCCCAUUAAAGCGGUACGCGAGCUGGGUUCAGAACGUCGUGAGACAGUUCGGUCCCUAUCCGUCGUGGGCGUAGGAAAUUUGAGAGGAGCUGUCCUUAGUACGAGAGGACCGGGAUGGACAUACCUCUGGUGUACCAGUUGUCGUGCCAACGGCAUAGCUGGGUAGCUAUGUGUGGACGGGAUAAGUGCUGAAAGCAUCUAAGCAUGAAGCCCCCCUCAAGAUGAGAUUUCCCAACUUCGGUUAUAAGAUCCCUCAAAGAUGAUGAGGUUAAUAGGUUCGAGGUGGAAGCAUGGUGACAUGUGGAGCUGACGAAUACUAAUCGAUCGAAGACUUAAUCAA